AAAAACUUAUUUAGUGGGGAGAGAAUAUUAAUUUGUUAUUAGUUUUUGUAUCUAUUUAUUUAGUGGGGGAGAGAAUAUUAUUUUGUUAAUAGUUUUAACGUUUAACCGGGGGUGUACGAAUAUCAUUUGCGGUUGCGGUAGAUGGUUUUGGAUUAACUAUAAGUUAGAGAAUGUAUGUAUCAGAGGAUGAUCGGUCACGUCUCACGAGAGAUCCAUUCUUGAAGCUCUCACAUGUUUCCCAUUUUAUCUUCUCCGUUCUCUCGUGUUUCUUCACAGAUGGAAAUGUUUAAUCAAAUCAUCUUUUAAUUGAAAAAAAUCAAUCAUCCAAACACAAUCGUCUCUUAUUCUAUUUUUGGAGAUUAUUUUUCAAUACAUUUAUAUAUCUUAUAUGUAGAUUUGUACUAUGUAUUAAGUAACUGUACCCCCAAAAUGAUGUACCUGGAAUUUAAUACGUAAGUAAAAAUCCAGUUCACUAUGAUCGAUCACUUAAAAAAAUGUUGAGAAUUGUAAGGAAUUAAUUGUCAAAUUUAUAUUAGAAAAGAUAAACUUUACAAAGAUGACAGAAAGUUAAACUAAUGUUUUUUCCUCCUAAACCAUACUUGAU
rnacentral:lncRNA from 1 species